CGCUCCACCGCACUCAGCCAGAUAUCGCCAGCCACGCGGCCUGGCGGGGCGGGCCACCCGGGAAAGCCCCUGGGGACCCUUCUGCUUCGCGAAUUCGUUUCCCGCCGCGUCGGAAUGCUGCCUUCGCGCGGAAACCCGCUUCCUGGCGUUUCCCGCCGCUUGGCCCAGGUGGCGGCCCUAGGCCUACAGACCGCGGGGCAUGCUGGGAUCGUCCUCUCAGGCCCGCUGCGCUCUCAUCGGACUCUGGGCCACGGACGUGUUGGUGCCGCCGCUCAGAGGGCCGCUCGCCAGAGCUGGACGUUUCCGUUUGUGGACCUUCCGUAUUAGGCCACUCUCUACCUGUCCACUGUCCUGGAGUCCAAGGGCAGGGAGUACAUCUGUGGGGUCAGUGCUCUCAGGCUUCCAAAUAAGUUUGGCCAGUGGAGAGGAAGCACAGAGAGGAAACUGCAGAAUGGGAACAGAAUGAGCAUGGCCACCUCAGAGCAGUCAGGCUGCUUACAUGAUGGUUGAAGACUUCAACCAGUGAGCAAAGGAAUUGUUUUGGCAGUUCUAUAGAUCCUCUACAUUUCUACAUAAAGUUUAAAAUCAGAUUGGGAUUUUGAUUGGGAUUGCAUCAAAUCUAUAUAUCAAACUUCAGGAGAAGGGACAUCUUAAACAUAUUGGAUCUUCUGAUGCAUG